GAUAUAAAGGGGUUCGACAUCGACUAUUUAACUUUACUCAACUGAUUGAGUAUUUCAAAUGUAAUCAAGUCGUUUAAUUGGGACAGGUGCGUUUUUAUGAGUUCUAUUUUUCUUUUCUCUUUUUUUCUUUUUCCGGAGCAUUCAAAAAGCCUCCAAUUUUUUUCUUUCUCUUUUCUCUUUUCUUGUAACAAUUUUUCACACACUUGUCCCUUUUGUAUUAGAUUUACCACCCCAAACUUAGACUUCAACACAGUUUCCAAAAUCCACAACAUUUAUGCCGAGCAAGGGUAAAAGAGAUUAUUAUAUUU
rnacentral:lncRNA from 1 species